CCGAGAUUCCCCCAGUAGCGGCGAGCGAACGGGGAGGAGCCCAGAGCCUGAAUCAGUGUGUGUGUUAGUGGAAGUGUCUGGAAAGGCGCGCGAUACAGGGUGACAGCCCCGUACACAAAAAUGCACAUGCUGUGAGCUCGAUGAGUAGGGCGGGACACGUGGUAUCCUGUCUGAAUAUGGGGGGACCAUCCUCCAAGGCUAAAUACUCCUGACUGACCGAUAGUGAACCAGUACCGUGAGGGAAAGGCGAAAAGAACCCCGGCGAGGGGAGUGAAAAAGAACCUGAAACCGUGUACGUACAAGCAGUGGGAGCCUCUUAAUGGGGUGACUGCGUACCUUUUGUAUAAUGGGUCAGCGACUUAUAUUCUGUAGCAAGGUUAACCGAAUAGGGGAGCCGAAGGGAAACCGAGUCUUAACUGGGCGUUAAGUUGCAGGGUAUAGACCCGAAACCCGGUGAUCUAGCCAUGGGCAGGUUGAAGGUUGGGUAACACUAACUGGAGGACCGAACCGACUAAUGUUGAAAAAUUAGCGGAUGACUUGUGGCUGGGGGUGAAAGGCCAAUCAAACCGGGAGAUAGCUGGUUCUCCCCGAAAGCUAUUUAGGUAGCGCCUCGUGAAUUCAUCUCCGGGGGUAGAGCACUGUUUCGGCAAGGGGGUCAUCCCGACUUACCAACCCGAUGCAAACUGCGAAUACCGGAGAAUGUUAUCACGGGAGACACACGGCGGGUGCUAACGUCCGUCGUGAAGAGGGAAACAACCCAGACCGCCAGCUAAGGUCCCAAAGUCAUGGUUAAGUGGGAAACGAUGUGGGAAGGCCCAGACAGCCAGGAUGUUGGCUUAGAAGCAGCCAUCAUUUAAAGAAAGCGUAAUAGCUCACUGGUCGAGUCGGCCUGCGCGGAAGAUGUAACGGGGCUAAACCAUGCACCGAAGCUGCGGCAGCGACGCUUAUGCGUUGUUGGGUAGGGGAGCGUUCUGUAAGCCUGUGAAGGUGUGCUGUGAGGCAUGCUGGAGGUAUCAGAAGUGCGAAUGCUGACAUAAGUAACGAUAAAGCGGGUGAAAAGCCCGCUCGCCGGAAGACCAAGGGUUCCUGUCCAACGUUAAUCGGGGCAGGGUGAGUCGACCCCUAAGGCGAGGCCGAAAGGCGUAGUCGAUGGGAAACAGGUUAAUAUUCCUGUACUUGGUGUUACUGCGAAGGGGGGACGGAGAAGGCUAUGUUGGCCGGGCGACGGUUGUCCCGGUUUAAGCGUGUAGGCUGGUUUUCCAGGCAAAUCCGGAAAACCAAGGCUGAGGCGUGAUGACGAGGCACUACGGUGCUGAAGCGACAAAUGCCCUGCUUCCAGGAAAAGCCUCUAAGCAUCAGGUAACAUCAAAUCGUACCCCAAACCGACACAGGUGGUCAGGUAGAGAAUACCAAGGCGCUUGAGAGAACUCGGGUGAAGGAACUAGGCAAAAUGGUGCCGUAACUUCGGGAGAAGGCACGCUGAUAUGUAGGUGAAGCGACUUGCUCGUGGAGCUGAAAUCAGUCGAAGAUACCAGCUGGCUGCAACUGUUUAUUAAAAACACAGCACUGUGCAAACACGAAAGUGGACGUAUACGGUGUGACGCCUGCCCGGUGCCGGAAGGUUAAUUGAUGGGGUUAGCGGCAACGCGAAGCUCUUGAUCGAAGCCCCGGUAAACGGCGGCCGUAACUAUAACGGUCCUAAGGUAGCGAAAUUCCUUGUCGGGUAAGUUCCGACCUGCACGAAUGGCGUAAUGAUGGCCAGGCUGUCUCCACCCGAGACUCAGUGAAAUUGAACUCGCUGUGAAGAUGCAGUGUACCCGCGGCAAGACGGAAAGACCCCGUGAACCUUUACUAUAGCUUGACACUGAACAUUGAGCCUUGAUGUGUAGGAUAGGUGGGAGGCUUUGAAGUGUGGACGCCAGUCUGCAUGGAGCCGACCUUGAAAUACCACCCUUUAAUGUUUGAUGUUCUAACGUUGGCCCCUAAUCGGGGUUGCGGACAGUGUCUGGUGGGUAGUUUGACUGGGGCGGUCUCCUCCUAAAGAGUAACGGAGGAGCACGAAGGUUGGCUAAUCCUGGUCGGACAUCAGGAGGUUAGUGCAAUGGCAUAAGCCAGCUUGACUGCGAGCGUGACGGCGCGAGCAGGUGCGAAAGCAGGUCAUAGUGAUCCGGUGGUUCUGAAUGGAAGGGCCAUCGCUCAACGGAUAAAAGGUACUCCGGGGAUAACAGGCUGAUACCGCCCAAGAGUUCAUAUCGACGGCGGUGUUUGGCACCUCGAUGUCGGCUCAUCACAUCCUGGGGCUGAAGUAGGUCCCAAGGGUAUGGCUGUUCGCCAUUUAAAGUGGUACGCGAGCUGGGUUUAGAACGUCGUGAGACAGUUCGGUCCCUAUCUGCCGUGGGCGCUGGAGAACUGAGGGGGGCUGCUCCUAGUACGAGAGGACCGGAGUGGACGCAUCACUGGUGUUCGGGUUGUCAUGCCAAUGGCACUGCCCGGUAGCUAAAUGCGGAAGAGAUAAGUGCUGAAAGCAUCUAAGCACGAAACUUGCCCCGAGAUGA
rnacentral:rRNA from 1 species